GGUAAAAUGGCUGAUUUAGGUAAUAAAUUGUAAAUUUAUUUAUGAGAUUAUUUCUCUUUUACCA
rnacentral:tRNA from 1 species